CCGACGGUGAGAGAUGAAAGCUGGGGGAGCAAACCGGAUUAGAUACCCGGGUAGUCCCAGCCGUAAACGAUGUGCGUUAGGUGUAUCGGUGACCACGAGUCACCGAGGUGCCGAAGAGAAAUCGUGAAACGUACCGCCUGGGAAGUACGGUCGCAAGGCUGAAACUUAAAGGAAUUGGCGGGGGAGCACCACAACAGGUGGAGCCUGCGGUUUAAUCGGACUCAACGCCGGGAAACUCACCGGAUAAGACAGCUGAAUGAUAGUCGGGCUGAAGACUCUACUUGACUAGCUGAGAGGAGGUGCAUGGCCGUCGUCAGUUCGUACUGUGAAGCAUCCUGUUAAGUCAGGCAACGAGCGAGACCCACGCAACAGUUGCUA
rnacentral:rRNA from 1 species